rnacentral:rRNA from 1 species
GACGAACGCUGGCGGCGUGCUUAACACAUGCAAGUCGAACGGAAAGGCCUGCUUUCCCUUGUGGAUUGCGGGUACUCGAGUGGCGAACGGGUGAGUAACACGUGAGUGAUCUGCCCCCAACUUGGGUAUAAGCCUGGGAAACUGGGUCUAAUUCCCGAUAGGACUGCAGGGUGGUGCCUGUGGUGGAAAACGAUUUUCUAGUGGUUGGGGAUGAGCUCGCGGCCUAUCAGCUUGUUGGUGGGGUAAUGGCCUACCAAGGCGGCGACGGGUAGCCGGCCUGAGAGGGUGGACGGCCACAUUGGGACUGAGAUACGGCGCAGACUCCUACGGGAGGCAGCAGUGGGGAAUAUUACACAAUGGGCGGAAGCCUGAUGCAGCGACGCCGCGUGGGGGAUGACGGCCUUCGGGUUGUAAACUCCUUUCGACCGCGAGGAAGCCACCUGGUUGGAAGGGUGGUGACGGUAGUGGUAGAAGAAGCACCGGCUAACUACGUG